GACGAACCACACAAACGUUAUUCGGAAUUACUGGGCUUAAAGGGUGCGUAGGCGGCGCGGAAAGUUGGGUGUGAAAUCCCUCGGCUCAACCGAGGAACUGCGCCCAAAACUACCGUGCUCGAGGGAGAUAGAGGUGAGCGGAACUUAUGGUGGAGCGGUGAAAUGCGUUGAUAUCCUAAGGAACACCCGUGGCGAAAGCGGCUCACUGGGUCUUCUCUGACGCUGAGGCACGAAAGCUAGGGGAGCAAACAGG
rnacentral:rRNA from 1 species